GGGUCAGUAGGUUGGUCGUGCCACCGGUACGUACUGGUCUCACUGAUUCCUCCUUCCUGAAGAACCGUAAUGCCAUUAAUUUGGUGUUGCGGGGAAACAGGACUGUUACUUUGAAAAAAUUAGAGUGUUUAAAGCAAGCCAACGCUUGAAUACAUUAGCAUGGAAUAAUGAAAUAGGACGAUCGAUCCCAUUUUGUUGGUUUCUAGGAUUGACGUA
rnacentral:rRNA from 1 species